UGCUCAGAACGAACGCUGGCGGCAGGCCUAACACAUGCAAGUCGAGCGCACCUUCGGGUGAGCGGCGGACGGGUUAGUAACGCGUGGGAACGUACCCUUCUCUAUGGAAUAGCCAUUGGAAACGAUGAGUAAUACCAUAUACGCCCUUCGGGGGAAAGAUUUAUCGGAGAAGGAUYGGCCCGCGUUAGAUUAGAUAGUUGGUGGGGUAAUGGCCUACCAAGUCUACGAUCUAUAGCUGGUUUUAGAGGAUGAUCAGCAACACUGGGACUGAGACACGGCCCAGACUCCUACGGGAGGCAGCAGUGGGGAAUCUUAGACAAUGGGCGCAAGCCUGAUCUAGCCAUGCCGCGUGUGUGAUGAAGGUCUUAGGAUCGUAAAGCACUUUCGCCAGGGAUGAUAAUGACAGUACCUGGUAAAGAAGCCCCGGCUAACUCCGUGCCAGCAGCCGCGGUAAUACGGAGGGGGCUAGCGUUGUUCGGAAUUACUGGGCGUAAAGCGUACGUAGGCGGAUCAGAAAGUAUGGGGUGAAAUCCCAGGGCUUAACCCUGGAACUGCCUCAUAAACUCCUGGUCUUGAGUUCGAGAGAGGUGAGUGGAAUUCCAAGUGUAGAGGUGAAAUUCGUAGAUAUUUGGAGGAACACCAGUGGCGAAGGCGGCUCACUGGCUCGAUACUGACGCUGAGGUACGAAAGUGUGGGGAGCAAACAGGAUUAGAUACCCUGGUAGUCCACACCGUAAACGAUGAAUGCCAGACGUCGGGCAGUAUACUGUUCGGUGUCACACCUAACGGAUUAAGC
rnacentral:rRNA from 1 species